AUUGAACGCUGGCGGCAUGCCUUACACAUGCAAGUCGAACGGCAGCAUGACGUGUAGCAAUACACGUUGAUGGCGAGUGGCGAACGGGUGAGUAAUAUAUCGGAACGUGCCCUGUAGCGGGGGAGUAGCCCGGCGAAAGACCGGAUUAAUACCGCAUACGCUCUACGGAGGAAGACGGGGGUCGGCAAGACCUCGCACUAUAGGAGCGGCCGAUAUC
rnacentral:rRNA from 1 species